CCCGCACAAGCGGAGGAACAUGUGGUUUAAUUCGAUGAUACGCGAGGAACCUUACCUGGGCUUAAAUGUAGAGUGCAUUUUCUAGAGAUAGGAAUUCCCUUCGGGGCUUUCUACAAGGUGCUGCAUGGUUGUCGUCAGCUCGUGCCGUGAGGUGUCGGGUUAAGUCCCAUAACGAGCGCAACCCUUAUCGUUAGUUGCCAUCUGGUAAAGCAGGGGACUCUAGCGAAACUGCCACCGUAAGGUGAGAGGAAGUGGGGAUGACGUCAAAUCAGCACGGCCCUUAUGUCCAGGGCUACACACGUGUUACAAUGGUCGGUACAGAGGGCAGCUACCUGGUGACAGGAUGCUAAUCUCGAAAACCGGCCUCAGUUCGGAUCGAAGUCUGCAACUCGACUUCGUGAAGCUGGAUUCGCUAGUAAUCGCGCAUCAGCCAUGGCGCGGUGAAUACGUUCCCGGGCCUU
rnacentral:rRNA from 1 species